UGAAUUUUGAACGAUAAAGUUAUGAAAAUGUCGGUCGGUACGUGUUCGUAUUUCUUUACUCCAAACACAACACACGGCUAAUGUGUUUGUAGUAAUUGUACAACUGUAGUAAUUGUGCAACUGUCUUUAUCUAAAAAUUGCUGGCAAUUCACUGAAGCUGAAUUAGAAGUUCUGCGUUUGAAGUAUAAAUGUUUCGAAGAUACAUGGUUGAAAUGGAAUGAGAUUCCUCAAAAGCUUGAUCAGGUUCGCAAAUCUUAUGCUAAUAUGACACACUGAUACCCAUAUUAGCAGCUGGAGGCGAAAAUUCUGGUGUCUCGGCGGCAGCUUUUGAUGACUGUGAAGUAUUAUUAUGAAUGGGUGAUCAAGGAGGUCAUGUUAUUUCUAUGUUACAAUAAUUCAUCGUUCUUGCAAGAAACCCAUUGGUUAAAUGAUCAAAUUAUAUCAUCCAGUACCUGGAGCAUGUGAAUGCAAAAAUAAUUCGGAUUUGUUCUUUGUGCCGCCAGAGAUCUAAUGUGGGAAAUUAAUAGAUGAUUCGAGUUGGAAACUCUAUUUAAUCACUUGAAAGUACCGAAAAACCCGUUUAUAAAGGCUUACUUUUAGUAAAAGUAGGGUCAUGUGUCUAAAUUAUAUACGGUUACAUUAUUUGGACACUUAAUUAAAAUGAAAAACUGAAACAUCGACGCGCGUAACACUGCGUCUUUGCGGAAUCAUACGCCCAUCGGCGUGCUGGUCGCGACGAUUGCAUCUGCUUCGGUUCCUGGCGUCCUGGUUUUUCUGUCGUCGACGCCUAUCGGCUUCCUCGUCGUCUCUCGACUCGUCAAACAUACCUAAAGACAUAACUUCUUUGCCAUUUACCAUUUUCACGUCUGUUUUCGCCGACUUCUUUUUCAAAAAGAACUUUUAUUCAAAAUUUAACGAUAGUAUUCAACGAUGUAAAUAAAAAGUAGUCAUUAUCUAACAUCCGCGCGGGAUUUUUUUUAUUAUUGGGAAUCGAUUUGGUGGUUUCUAUUCCUUUACUACAUAUGCCGGUGGCCCAGCAUUGGUCCUUCUCAGUGUUUUCGGAGAAAACUUUCUUUCAUUUCGAUAGCUGGGGUACAGGCUUCCCAUCAAUUUGUGCAUGUAUGCACACAUUUUAUUUCUUAUUUUUGUGAAUUUCACUUUUGGCACAUCUACGUAGAAUUUUACAUUGAUAAU